rnacentral:rRNA from 1 species
UACGAAGGGGGCUAGCGUUGCUCGGAAUCACUGGGCGUAAAGCGCACGUAGGCGGAUUGCUAAGUCAGGGGUGAAAUCCUGGAGCUCAACUCCAGAACUGCCUUUGAUACUGGCGAUCUUGAGUCCGGGAGAGGUGAGUGGAACUGCGAGUGUAGAGGUGAAAUUCGUAGAUAUUCGCAAGAACACCAGUGGCGAAGGCGGCUCUCUGGAACGCAACUGACGCUGAGACGCGAAAGCCAGGGGAGCAAACGGG